CCCCGCCUCCGCCCCGCCUCCUUGGGCUCCGAAGACCGCCCAUCGCCGGAAAUUCGACGCGUGACGUCAAUGCAAUACGUCCACCCACCCCGUCGACGUGGCGUUUCCUCCGGUCUCGCUUCCGGUGGGCGGGUAGCACCUGGGAGAUGCUAGGAUAGAUAGGGCAGUGGGAAAUUUCCGCUGGUGAGCGCUCCCUCCGCAGUCACCCUUCACAAAGGUUUUGAGACUCUCGUGGCUUUCUAGAUCGACAGCUGCGUCCCUGGUCUUUAAAAAGAGGGAAAGACCUUAAUAUCUGAUUUAAAGUCGCUGUCGGCAAAAGGGGGGGGGGCGUGAUCGGAAACCAGGAUGUAAUACUCGGAGCGGCGGAGCUGAUGAUGCGCUACUGUGUUCAGUUAACCAAAAGGCACACACACAGCAUUUUGUUUGAUACUCUCUGCAACGUGUCACUGUCAUCCAGUGCGGUAUUUCCCUGAACAUCCGCCGAGGACGGGAGCCUGGGGUGUUGGAGGCAAAGAGGCCGCUUCUAAUUAGGCAAAACUCGAGAAAUCAUGAAGGGCUCCACGCGUUUCCUUACGCGGCUUGACCUGAAUGGCGCGAUUUCUCUGGAUGCCUGGUGGUCCCUAUACUGUUCGUAGCUACUCAUUGUGAAGACACUGCUGUCUGCAAUUUGGAAAGAAAACCUACCGUUUUCAGCAUCUUGAAGAACUAAGCAAGAAAAAAAAUGCCUGUUUUUCCUAAAAUAUCUUUAAGACCUGAAGUUGAGAAGUAUCUUAAAGACGGCUUUAUGGUAGGAGGCAGGUCAGAUUAACAUAUUUAAUAUUUGCGAAAAUUUAAAUAUUACACGACCUAGCGAAAUAGAUUAAGUCUAACGGGAAAUUUUUUACAGCCUUCGUUUCUUACCAGUUGUCUGUCUAAACGUGAGUAAAAUCCAUUGUCUUCUCACAGAUAACAAAUGCCUGCUGAGAACAAGGUGAAUAAGGUAUACGGUGUAGGAAAGAAGAAAAACGGUGUAGGAAAGAAGAAAAACUGUCAGUGGGCAUAACAGUGAAGGAGUUACAAGAAUGAACAAGAAAAGAUCUCUGCUCUUAACUAAUAUCCAGCAUAUGAAACACACCCAUUCUCUUAAAUCGCAUGCUCCAGCAUUCGGGUGAAAAUAAUAAUUUGUUGAGUGCCUCUCUAAAUGCACUCGGGAGGCUAACUUACAAGGGUAUCUGCGUGUGUGAGGCCAACACUGCACUACAAAGCAAGACCUUGUCUCAAAAAAACAAAACAAAAAAUACGUGCUUGAAAAGCUUCAGUUAGUUGUGAGGGAAGCUGGUGGUUUGGGUCUUUAUACCUUCAUUUCUGACAGAUAUGCUUGCUAGUCAACCAGUUUUUUUAUGGACCAUAUGUAUUUGUUACAUUUUUAAAAAAAUAUUAAAAACUGAUGUCCUGGAGGAAUCUUUGGAUGACAGUGAAUAUAUUAAUAUUGUUUAUACUUCAAAUAUUUUAAAUGGCUCCUAAGUAGUUUGUUAUUGAAUAUAUUUGUGAACAAAAAUAAUUGAAUGAGAUCUUGAAUUUAUUUGAAUAAAUGUAGCAGAUACUGAUAUUUUCAAAACUCUUUGCAGUUGAGGCAGUUUUUUUUAUAUGACUAAAUGCAGCAAAUAUUGAUAUUUUCAAAAUGUUAAUGCUUUGCAGUUGAGGCAGUGUUUUUUUUAUAAACCAGUAAUGGUCAGACAUGAUGUUAAGUGCUUAUUACCAUAACACAAUUCAAGAAUCCUGUGAAGUGUUACUAUUUCCUUAAUGUUAAUUAUCACUAAAAUGAUAACUCCAACUUGAAAUGGAGCUGAACAGUUGUUUCGUUAGGUGGAACAAAUCUCAUUCUGCUGAUUAUUUCAGUUUGUUUGAUGAAAGAAAAACAUUAACUUGUUCUUUUCAUUUCAGGUUGUAAAUACUUUAGGCAAAGCAGCAGCAGAAAGGAAGUUUGAAACUCUGUUGAAACAUCUGUCACACCCUCCCUCAUUCACAACUGUUAGAGUAAAUACACAUUUAACCUCAGUUCAGCAUGUGAAAACUCUGUUGCUUGAUGAAUUUCAGAAGGCAGGUGCUUAUGCUGCUGAGCUAAAUCUCCAGCCCCAUUAUUGUGGAUUUUUUAACUUCACGCACAGAUUUUGACUGGUCUAAAUACUCUCAGUAGGUGACAAGACCAAGGAGUGAACUAAAGCCCUGUGCUUUGUGUCUGACCCCAUAUGAUGAUGUCACCAUCAAUGAUCUUGAACAGUCUUUACUGAUUGGUGAAAGAAACAACUGCUCGUCCUUAUGGUGGAGUACUAUGCAGUCAUUACAAAUGACAGUUCACACCUAUGCUUACUGUUUGGAAAUUGUUCAUUUUUUAUUCACUUUUUUUUUUACCAUUUAAGCAAAAUAGUGUUUCACCACAAGAUAAUCCCGACAUAAAAGUAGUUACCACAGUGUCUCUUUCCUUGAAAUCUUUGAGUAUAACUUUGUAUACUGUAGCAUCAAAGAUAUCAAAACAAUGUAAAACCAUUCAAGAGAAUGACAGUAUUACAGGGUAUUUAGAAUCAACUAUCAGAAAAUGAACAAUGGUUUCUGUAUAAUCUCCUUGUCUAUAAAAGUUUUUGUUUAUAUUAUCACAUAUAAUAAAAUCCAAUAAGAUACAACAUGUUAAGACCACUGUAGACAGAAGAAUAAAAGCUUGAUGGGACUUCAAAACAAGAGGAUAUUAAAUCAGCACUAGCUAUUAUGAUGUCUUGUUUUCUCCAAAAUGGCUGUUCAUACCAUCCAACCUUCUCUGCCUCAUUUCUGUUGAGCUCUUUUUCUGUCACUAAUUGUCAGUUUGUCUUCUCCAUUUCACUUUCUGCUCCAUUCAUUGUGGUCUCUCUGCCACUGUUUCUGGAUUCUUCGUAUUUUUCUUUUUUAGAAGAUCCUGCAGUAUUCUCUGUAGAGUUGAAUUGGUGGUUGCAUAUUCCUCUAGUUCCUCUUUAUCCUGGAAGCACCUUGUUUUUCCAUCAAUUUCCAGGAAUAGUUGUGCAGGAUAUCUCAAUCUUGGCUGGAGAUUAUUAUCUUUCAAAGCUUGAAUUAUUUCCCCCCGCACUCUUCGUGAUUUAAUGGUUUGUGCUGAGAAGUCUGCUGUAAUUCUUGGUUCCAUACAUUUCUACUUAUUCCAGAUUAAAGAACAGUUAAUAGGAAUGAAUGAUUUUGUUGACAUUUUCACUUGUAACGUUUUUGCCUGAAAGAAAUGCAUUUAUUGGGUGCAGUGGUUUGUUGAAAUACUUUGUGAUGAGGCCAGACAGGCUCUGUGCAUAAUACUGGGAAGUUUCUUCCUAAAUAGCAAGAAAACUUCAUAAAUUUGUGGCCUAUCAAGCACUAAAAGUUUCAGAUUUCAGAAAGUGGAAGAGUGAUCCUUUGUUAUUUUAAUGAAAGUUGAAAUUAAGAAUUUUUGAUCCACCUCCCUUGGUCUGACAAAUUAUGUAUCUCAGCUCCUUUCUAUCUUGAAUCUAUGAAGUUGCAUCUAUAGAUCAUAAAUCACAAAGCAAAACAAAACAUCAAUGAAAUGUUUACUGUGUGAAUUUAAGUCACUAUUUCUCAUGGAAAUUCAGUCUAUUUUUUCCCCCUUAACCUUUUAAUUCCUAUUCCCUUUGAAAUUUUCCUUUUGUCUAUAAAUGUUUCAGUUAGCUCUGGAUGGUCUCAGACCUAAUUGCUGUCUAUGUGCUGUGGUUUUCCUCUUAUAAAGGACAGAGGCUAAGAAUACCUGCAUCUGAAUACAUUUCGAUGGAGUAAAUAGAUGCUUUGAACUGCC